rnacentral:rRNA from 1 species
AGAGUUUGAUCCUGGCUCAGAGCGAACGCUGGCGGCAGGCCUAACACAUGCAAGUCGAGCGCCCCGCAAGGGGAGCGGCAGACGGGAGAGUAACACGUGGGAACGUGCCCUUUGGUUCGGAACAACACAGGGAAACUUGUGCUAAUACCGGAUAAGCCCUUACGGGGAAAGAUUUAUCGCCAAAGGAUCGGCCCGCGUCUGAUUAGCUAGUUGGUGGGGUAACGGCCCACCAAGGCGACGAUCAGUAGCUGGUCUGAGAGGAUGAUCAGCCUCACUGGGACUGAGACACGGCCCAGACUCCUACGGGAGGCAGCAGUGGGGAAUAUUGGACAAUGGGCGCAAGCCUGAUCCAGCCAUGCCGCGUGGAUGAUGAAGGCCCUAGGGUUGUAAAGUCCUUUCGGCGGGGAAGAUAAUGACGGUACCCGCAGAAGAAGCCCCGGCUAACUUCGUGCCAGCAGCCGCGGUAAUACGAAGGGGGCUAGCGUUGCUCGGAAUCACUGGGCGUAAAGCGCACGUAGGCGGCUUUUUAAGUCAGGGGUGAAAUCCUGGAGCUCAACUCCAGAACUGCCUUUGAUACUGAGAAGCUUGAGUCCGGGAGAGGUGAGUGGAACUGCGAGUGUAGAGGUGAAAUUCGUAGAUAUUCGCAAGAACACCAGUGGCGAAGGCGGCUCACUGGCCCGGUACUGACGCUGAGGUGCGAAAGCGUGGGGAGCAAACAGGAUUAGAUACCCCGGUAGUCC